ensembl:ncRNA F29F11.10 ncRNA
UUCAUGAAAUUUUUUAUUGGUUUCUUUUUUUUGCAGAAUGAUAGUGAGUAAAAGACGCAAUAAACGAAAAGAGAUAAAUGGCAAGUGAUUGGAAGAAGAGGGCGCGUCGCUAAUUUAUGGAUCGAGAGAAGAGAAAGUCAAA